UGGUAGCGCACUUGGUUUGGGUCCAAGGGGUCGCAGGUUCAAAUCCUGCAUCGCCGACCA
rnacentral:tRNA from 1 species